rnacentral:rRNA from 1 species
UACGUAGGGUGCAGGCGUUAAUCGGAAUUACUGGGCGUAAAGCGCACGUAGGCGGCUUUCUAAGUCGGGGGUGAAAUCCUGGAGCUCAACUCCAGAACUGCCUUCGAUACUGGAGAGCUCGAGUCCGGGAGAGGUGAGUGGAACUGCGAGUGUAGAGGUGAAAUUCGUAGAUAUUCGCAAGAACACCAGUGGCGAAGGCGGCUCACUGGCCCGGUACUGACGCUGAGGUGCGAAAGCGUGGGGAGCAAACAGG